AGAAGACAAGCAUAUGACUACUGGCAGGAUCAACCAGGUAGCAUUCCUCGUUGACAUAGCCCGCCCGCUGGUACGAGCCAACACGGGACAGGCCGGUCAUUCAAGGUGAUGCGCCACUUUUUUGACAAACCCUCCCGAUAGCAAGGCCGAUUCAGGCAAGACAGUAGGUCAGGCUAACUUUGACAAACCCUCCCGAUGGCAAAGCCAAUUCAGGCAAGACAGUAAGCAUUGUUAACUUUGACAAACCCUCCCGAUGGCAAAGACAAAUCAGGCAAGACAGUAAGUCAUUUUAAAAAGAGGCACAAACGCUAAAUGGGGGCAACAAUAGGAUCUCAAGAGAACCCAUGCCCACAUUGUUUUCCAUAUCCAGGAUACCAAGCAACACUCACUGGGCCACAACAUCAACGCAUGCGUUAACAAAGUGGAUCAAAGAGACUGCUUCGUGGUUCAUCCGAUGCCACAAGAAUGACACAAGAUGAAAUCAACUAUAAUCAGCCAACACAAUACCAUAGCUUAGGUAUGCAACACAGAAACCAACAAUUUGGAUAGGCAAAGCAAGCCUAAACAAACAACUGAAGAGGUAUGCCGGGUGGA
rnacentral:misc_RNA from 1 species